AUACGGAGGAUGCAAGCGUUAUCCGGAUUUAUUGGGUUUAAAGGGUGCGUAGGCGGAUGAUUAAGCGUGAGGUGAAAUGCCACUGCUCAACAGUGGAACUGCCUCGCGAACUGGUUGUCUUGAAUGCUCCUGCCGUGGGAGGAAUGUGUGGUGUAGCGGUGAAAUGCAUAGAGAUCACACAGAACACCGAUUGCGAAGGCAUCUCACGAAGGGGUGAUUGACGCUGAGGCACGAAAGCGUGGGGAUCAAACAGGAUUAGAUACCCUGUAGUCCACGCAGUAAACGAUGAUAACUAACCGCUGGGUCGUAGUGAUUCAGUGGCCAAGCGAAAGCGAUAAGUUAUCCACCUGGGGAGUACGACCGCAAGGUUGAAACUCAAAGGAAUUGACGGGG
rnacentral:rRNA from 1 species